rnacentral:rRNA from 1 species
GGACGAACGCUGGCGGCGUGCCUAAUGAAUGCGAGUCGAACGGAACAUAGAGAUCGUGAUUGCUUUCGGGCGGUCACCCUUUAUGUUUAGUGGCAAACGGGUGAGUAACACGUGGAUAACGUGCCUUCAAGCCGAGGAUAACAGGGCGAAAGUCCUGCUAAUACUCGAUGGUCUGCCCCUGCUUUGGCGGGGACCAGUAAAGCUCCGGCGCUUGGAGAUCGGUCCGCGGUCCAUUAGCUUGUUGGUGGGGUAAUGGCCCACCAAGGCGACAAUGGGUAGCUGGUCUGAGAGGACGAUCAGCCACACUGGGACUGAGACAUGGUCCAGACUCCUACGGGAGUUAGCAUCCGGGAAUCUUGCACAAUGGGCGCAAGCCUGAUGCAGCGACGCCGCGUGGGUGAUGAAGGUCUGCGGAUCGUAAAGCCCUGUCAGGAGGGACGACACCCGACUGUACCUCCAAAGGAAGCCCCGGCUAACUACGUGCCAGCAGCCGCGGUAAAACGUAGGGGGCUAGCGUUGUCCGGAAUUACUGGGCGUAAAGGGCACGCAGGCGGUCUGUAAAGCGGUGGGUGCAAUCUCGAGGCUCAACCUCGAAACUGCUUGCCGAACUGGCAGACUAGAGCACGGGAGAGGACAGUGGAAUUCCCGGUGUAGCGGUGGAAUGCGUAAAUAUCGGGAGGAACACCAGUGGCGAAGGCUGCUGUCUGGAACGUUGCUGACGCUGAGGUGCGAAAGCUAGGGGAGCGAACGGGAUUAGAUACCCCGGUAGUCCUAGCCGUAAACGAUGCUCACUAGGUGUUGCCGGCAUUAACCCCGGCAGUGCUGUUCUGCUAACGCGCUAAGUGAGCCGCCUGGGGAGUACGGCCGCAAGGCUGAAACUCAAAGGAAUUGACGGGGGCCCGCACA